GGGUGGCAAUUUGUGUUGAUUAGGGACGACAAGUUCUGUUAAUUAGGUGUGGCAAUUUUGUGUCUAAAUAGGUUUUGUGUGAGGAUGUUUUGAAUGAAGGUGGUAACUCGAUUUGAUGUAGAAGAGAUGCGGGAUGUGGUGGUGGAUGGUAAAUUUUGACUGAAAUGUAUGUGCGUGGUUAUGUUUGUUCAUUACUGGUGGCAAAUUGUAUUCAAUUAGGGCUGUCCAUUUCUGUUCAUUAUUGGUGAAAAUAUUUUUUCAGGUGGCAAUUUAUGUUAAUUAGCGUUGGCAAUUUAUGUUAAUUAGUGUUUGUGUGUGGUGUCAAUUUUUUUCUAUUAGUGUUUGUGUGGUUGAUUUUUGACCAAAUGGAUUGCAAUUAGUGUUCAUUGAGGGUGGCAAUUUGUAUUGAUUAAGAGCGGCAAUUUUUGUUCGUUCAGGGUGGCAAUUUUGUGUUCGGAUAGAAUUUUGUGUGGGGGUCGUUUUGAAUGAAGGUGAUAGUUUGAUCUGAAUUGGAGGAGAUGCAGGAUGUGGCGGUGGAUAAUAAAUUUUGCUUGAAUUAAUGGAUGGGCAUUAUUAUUUUUGUUCAUUAUGGAUGACAAUUUGUAUUUACUUGGGGCUGUCACUUUGUGUCUACUGGUGGCAUUUUGUAUUCAGUGGCAAUUUAUAGUUAUUAAGGGUGGCAAUUCUGUUCAUUAGGGAUGACAUAGAGAUAGUGUUGUGUGGGGUCGCUCUUAGUGGAGGUCGUAGGUCCAAUUGCAGUGUGGAAGAUGCGAAAUGCGGUGGUAGAUUUUGACCGAAAUGGAUUGACAUGUUUAAUUAUCUGUUUUUCUUAGGUAUGUCAAUUUGUGUUCAGUAGGGCAGACAAUUUGUGCUCAUUAUGGAUGUCAAUUUUUUUCAUUAGGAGCAACAGGGAGAUAAGGUUUGUGUGCUGUCAUUCUGAAGGAAGGUGAUAGCUCAAUUUCAAGUGCCGGAGAUGUAUAUAGUUAUUUCUAUGGUGUCAUUUCGACCGAUAUAGAUGUACAUAAUUAUUUGUGUUCAUUAGUGUAACAUCCCAUUUUUCAAAACCCUUCAUAUGCAUUGCAUUUCAUAAGCAUCAUGUCACCUUUGCAUUUAAUCACAUUUAAAACCCUAAAGUUUAACUCAGAAAAACCCAUUAAAAAAAGUACUUUUAUUUGAAUCUGGCUUUCUUCUUGCUUUUGGUUAAUUGCAUUUUAACCCAUGAGGGUUUUAGCAUAAAAAGGGGUUUAAUGCAUUUAUAAAGCUACACCAUGUCUUGGCAUUUGAAUUUGAUUUGAAUCACAAAUUAUUUUUAAUAGCUAGAAAGCCCUAAAGGUAUAGGCAAAAAUAUAUUUUUCAAAAUAUUUUAUUUUGACGGAAUUCUUGUCCCAAAAGUUGAAUCAUAUGAAAAUAUGAUUUUAUAAAUUUUGUUGCAAUUUAUUUGGUUAAAUUGGAGCUUUCUCUCAAAAUUGGUAUUCAAAAACAGAAAUAGAAAAGGAAAAAAGAAAAGAAAAAAAAAGAAACAGUGGCCGGCCCGGCCAAAUGGGCCGAACCGGCCCACUCACCUGCGCUCGACCGAGCUAGCCCAGCCCCCGCACGCGCUGCCCGUGCCGCUGACAGGUGGACCCCACUGUCAGGCCGUCGUCUUCGUCUCCAACUGCCUCCUCUUUCCCCGGCCACGACCGCGUCCGAACCGGCCACGACUCCUCCCGAUUUCUGCGGCCACGCAGCCCCACCUUCGAAUUGGAGCGCGUCACCCUGAAGGCCACAACCUCCUCUCUCUUUUCCCCCAUCUCUCUCGCCCGUUUUCGCUCUCGUUUCACCGAAAUUUCUCGCCGGAAAAAGCUUCUGCCG
rnacentral:lncRNA from 1 species